GCCCCCGUAGCUCAAUCGGAUAGAGCACCAUCCUACUAAGUUGGCUGUUUCGAGUUCGAACCUCGACGGGGGCA
rnacentral:tRNA from 3 species